rnacentral:rRNA from 1 species
AUUGAACGCUGGCGGCAGGCCUAACACAUGCAAGUCGAACGAGCGGCGGACGGGUGAGUAAUGUCUGGGAAACUGCCCGAUGGAGGGGGAUAACUACUGGAAACGGUAGCUAAUACCGCAUACUAUCGGAUGAACCCAUAUGGGAUUAGCUAGUAGGUGGGGUAACGGCUCACCUAGGCGACGAUCCCUAGCUGGUCUGAGAGGAUGACCAGCCACACUGGAACUGAGACACGGCCCAGACUCCUACGGGAGGCAGCAGUGGGGAAUAUUGCACAAUGGGCGCAAGCCUGAUGGAGCCAUGCCGCGUGUGUGAAGAAGGCCUUCGGGUUGUAAAGUACUUUCAGUGAGGAGGCGGUACUCACAGAAGAAGCACCGGCUAACUCCGUGCCAGCAGCCGCGGUAAUAC